rnacentral:rRNA from 1 species
CUGCGGAGGAUCAUUAUCGAAACGGUGGAGCGAGACUGUCGCUGGCUGCUGGCAUGUGCACGUCUUACUGCUCCAUCUUGUCUUACACACCUGUGCACCUGUCGUAGUUCCUCGUCAAAGGGGACCUAUGUUCUAUCUUAUCGCUCUGUCGUAUGUCCAUAGAAUGAUAUAUAAUGAAUACAACUUUCAGCAACGGAUCUCUUGGCUCUCGCAUCGAUGAAGAACGCAGCGAAUUGCGAUAAGUAAUGUGAAUUGCAGAUUUUCAGUGAAUCAUCGAAUCUUUGAACGCACCUUGCGCUCCUUGGUAUUCCGAGGAGCAUGCCUGUUUGAGUGUCAUCGAAUUCUCAACCAUGUCUUGUGAGAUUCAUGGCUUGGAAUUGGGAGGUUGCUGGCGUCGUUCAGCUCUUCUGAAAUGCAUUAGCAAAGUCUCUGUGCAUGCGCAUGGCCCUGACGUGAUAAUGAUCGUCGUGGCCUGGGAGUGUAUGGAUGUUCGCUUCAAAUCCAAACCCACGGAAGCUUUCAAGCUAGUUACUAGUCGGUCUAUGGGCCGGCGAACGCAGCGAUGAAGGCUUGCAUGAACGGACGAUGACUUGACCUCAAAUCAGGUAGGACUACCCGCUGAACUUAAGCAUAUCAAUAAGCGGAGGAAAAGAAACUAACGAGGAUUCCCCUAGUAACUGCGAGUGAAGCGGGAAAAGCUCAAAUUUCGAAUCUGACGGUCUUCGAUCGUCCGAGUUGUAAUCUAGAGAAGCGUUUUCUGCGCUGGUCCGUGUACAAGUCUCCUGGAAGGGAGCGUCAUAGAGGGUGAGAAUCCCGUCUUUGACAUGGGCUACCAGUGCUGUGUGAUGCGCUCUCGACGAGUCGAGUUGUUUGGGAAUGCAGCUCAAAAUGGGUGGUAAAUUCCAUCUAAAGCUAAAUAUGGGCGAGAGACCGAUAGCGAACAAGUACCGUGAGGGAAAGAUGAAAAGAACUUUGGAAAGAGAGUUAAACAGUACGUGAAAUUGCUGAAAGGGAAACGCUUGAUGUCAGUCACGUCGGCUGGGGAUCAACCUUGCUGCUCGCGGGGUGUACUUCCUGGUCGAUGGGUCAGCAUCAGUUUCGGUCGCCGUACAAGGGUGGAGGGAAUGUGGCACUCUUCGGGGUGUGUUUAUAGCCUUUCGUCGUAUGCGGCGCUUGGGACUGAGGAACUCGGCACGCUUCGGUUGUGGCUUAGGAUGCUGGCAUAAUGGCCUUAAGCGACCCGUCUUGAAACACGGACCAAGGAGUCUAACAUGCCUGCGAGUGUUUGGGUGGAAAACCCGAGCGCGUAAUGAAAGUGAACGUCGAGACCUCCGUCAUGGAGGGCAUCGACGCCCGGACCUGAGUCUUUGACGACGGAUCUGCGGUAGAGCAUGUAUGUUGGGACCCGAAAGAUGGUGAACUAUGCCUGAAUAGGGUGAAGCCAGAGGAAACUCUGGUGGAGGCUCGUAGCGAUUCUGA